UUGCUCGCUUCGGCAGCACAUAUACUAAAAUUGGAACGAUACAGAGAAGAUUAGCAUGGCACCUGCACAAGGAUGACAUGAAAUUAAAUUUUUAAAAAUUAU
ensembl:snRNA U6 U6 spliceosomal RNA